UCACUGCCCAAGGAGGAGCGGAAAACACGUGGCCUUAUUCUCUGUGAAGUGUUUGUGGAAUUUUGGUCACCAUAGCACCCAGUCACCAAAUACAGAAAGAUCUCUCCCAUGAUUCAUAACUGAGCCCACAGUGGCCACUGCUGUUUGUAGCCAACCUUCUGGCUCUGCCCGGUGUGUAAGAGCUGAAGGGAGCUUUGCUGGGCACCUACAGGCUGCUCCAUCCUCCCAGCAUGCUGCAAACAGAUUACUACUACACCCAGCAACUCUUUAUGAGCUUCUUCUGGGCAGGUGAAAAUAGCAGAUAAGAGAUGUUAUGGAGGAUAAAGAAGAAACAUCUCUCAGACAGUCCACUGUAGCAUAUAGUCUCUCCUUCAGACUGGGAAAAGAUGAAGAGGAGCAUAGCCAGCACUCUGAGAUAUCCUGGAAGAAAGGACUGCUCUGCAGUAAGUUACAACUUUAUGACUGUGUAAAAAUGAAAAAACAACUCAAACAAUUAUUGUUAUAGCUGACACUUAUGUAUGAGUGGACAGAAACAAUUUGACACCUGUAAAAUCCCUUGCCAACCUCGUUUAAGCUCACCCUGUGAAAGAAAUGGAUGCUAGUCACUUUUAUUGCUUGCAGUGCAGAGACCCAGUAUUUUAGAGCCUGUUCAAUGUUGGGUCAGACCCACAGAUGAUGUAAAACAACCUCCCGUAGUUACUCCGACAUACCUGUGGUCACAGAGGGCUCUCUGCAAUCAUUGCUCAACUGGUGCUGCCCCAGGGAGCUCUUACACCAGGUACAACCUCUGUGAGCUGCAGGCACGGCAGUCUCCUGCCUCCAGUACUGCAGCUUCCCACCCUGUGUCCCCGAG
rnacentral:lncRNA from 1 species